rnacentral:rRNA from 1 species
UACAGAGGGUGCGAGCGUUAAUCGGAAUUACUGGGCGUAAAGCGCACGUAGGUGGCGACGUAAGUCGGGUGUGAAAGCCCCGGGCUCAACCUGGGAAUUGCAUUCGAGACUGCAUUGCUGGAGUACGGAAGAGGAAGGCGGAAUUCCCGGUGUAGCGGUGAAAUGCGUAGAUAUCGGGAGGAACAUCAGUGGCGAAGGCGGCCUUCUGGUCCGGCAUUGACGCUGAGGAGCGAAAGCCAGGGGAGCAAACGGG